rfam:Triticum urartu cultivar G1812 contig636985, whole genome shotgun sequence.
AUAGUACUCCCUUCAUCCGGAAAUACUUGUCGAAAAAAUGGAUGUAUUUAGACACAUUUUAGUAUUAGAUACAUUCAUUUUUAUCUAUUUUUUCAACAAGUAUUUCCGGACGGAAGGAGUACUGC